UACGUAGGGUGCAAGCGUUAAUCGGAAUUACUGGGCGUAAAGCGUGCGCAGGCGGUUGUGUAAGACAGAUGUGAAAUCCCCGGGCUCAACCUGGGAACUGCAUUUGUGACUGCACGGCUCGAGUGCGGCAGAGGGGGAUGGAAUUCCGCGUGUAGCAGUGAGAUGCGUAGAUAUGCGGAGGAACACCGAUGGCGAAGGCAAUCCCCUGGGCCUGCACUGACGCUCAUGCACGAAAGCCAGGGGAGCGAACGGG
rnacentral:rRNA from 1 species